rnacentral:rRNA from 1 species
UACGAAGGGGCUAGCGUUGCUCGGAAUCACUGGGCGUAAAGCGCACGUAGGCGGGUUGCUAAGUCAGGGGUGAAAUCCUGGAGCUCAACUCCAGAACUGCCCUUGAUACUGGCGGCCUUGAGUCCGGGAGAGGUGAGUGGAACUGCGAGUGUAGAGGUGAAAUUCGUAGAUAUUCGCAAGAACACCAGUGGCGAAGGCGGCUCACUGGCCCGGUACUGACGCUGAGGUGCGAAAGCGUGGGGAGCAAACAGG